rnacentral:rRNA from 1 species
GACGAACUCUUGCGGCGCGCCUAACACAUGCAAGUCGAACGAGCGAGAGAGAGCUUGCUUUCUCGAGCGAGUGGCGAACGGGUGAGUAACGCGUGAGGAACCUGCCUCAAAGAGGGGGACAACAGUUGGAAACGACUGCUAAUACCGCAUAAGCCCACGACCCGGCAUCGGGUAGAGGGAAAAGGAGCAAUCCGCUUUGAGAUGGCCUCGCGUCCGAUUAGCUAGUUGGUGAGGUAAUGGCCCACCAAGGCGACGAUCGGUAGCCGGACUGAGAGGUUGAACGGCCACAUUGGGACUGAGACACGGCCCACACUCCUACGGGAGGCAGCAGUGGGGAAUAUUGCACAAUGGGGGAAACCCUGAUGCAGCGACGCCGCGUGGAGGAAGAAGGUCUUCGGAUUGUAAACUCCUGUUGUUGAGGAAGAUAAUGACGGUACUCAACAAGGAAGUGACGGCUAACUACGUGCCAGCAGCCGCGGUAAAACGUAGGUCACAAGCGUUGUCCGGAAUUACUGGGUGUAAAGGGAGCGCAGGCGGGAAGACAAGUUGGAAGUGAAAUCCAUGGGCUCAACCCAUGAACUGCUUUCAAAACUGUUUUUCUUGAGUAGUGCAGAGGUAGGCGGAAUUCCCGGUGUAGCGGUGGAAUGCGUAGAUAUCGGGAGGAACACCAGUGGCGAAGGCGGCCUACUGGGCACCAACUGACGCUGAGGCUCGAAAGUGUGGGUAGCAAACAGGAUUAGAUCCCCUGGUAGUCCUCUCCGUAAACGACAAAAAAAGGUGUUGGAGGAUUGACCCCUUCAGUGCCGCAGUUAACACAUAAAGUAAUCCACCUGGGGAGUACGACCGCAAGGUUGAAACUCAAAGGAAUUGACGGGGGCCCGCACAAGCAGUGGAGUAUGUGGUUUAAUUCGACGCAACGCGAAGAACCUUACCAAGUCUUGACAUCCCUUGACGAUGCUGGAAACAGUAUUUCUCUUCGGAGCAAGGAGACAGGUGGUGCAUGGUUGUCGUCAGCUCGUGUCGUGAGAUGUUGGGUUAAGUCCCGCAACGAGCGCAACCCUUAUGGUCAGUUACUACGCAAGAGGACUCUGGCCAGACUGCCGUUGACAAAACGGAGGAAGGUGGGGAUGACGUCAAAUCAUCAUGCCCUUUAUGACUUGGGCUACACACGUACUACAAUGGCGUUAAACAAAGAGAAGCAAGACCGCGAGGUGGAGCAAAACUCAGAAACAACGUCCCAGUUCGGACUGCAGGCUGCAACUCGCCUGCACGAAGUCGGAAUUGCUAGUAAUCGUGGAUCAGCAUGCCACGGUGAAUACGUUCCCGGGCCUUGCACA